GCUUGUCUCAAAGAUUAAGCCAUGCAUGUCUAAGUACAAGCCUCAGUAAGGUGAAACCGCGAAUGGCUCAUUAAAUCACACCUAAUCUACUGGAAAGUUACUAGUUACUUGGAUAACUGAGGUAAUUCUUGAGCUAAUACAUGCUAUAUGCCCGGCUUCUGGCAGGGCUGUAUUUAUUAGAUACUAAACCAGUGUCGCAAGACAUUGUGGUGAAUCACAGUAACUGAUCGAAUCGGCGCGCAAGCGGCGAUAAAUCAUUCAAGUUUCUGCCCUAUCAGCUUUCGAUGGUAGUGUAUUGGACUACCAUGGCAGUCACGGGUAACGGAGAAUUAGGGUUCGGUUCCGGAGAGGGAGCCUGAGAAACGGCUACCACAUCUAAGGAAGGCAGCAGG
rnacentral:rRNA from 1 species